UUCCGUAAGCCUGUGAAGGUGAGUUGAGAAGCUUGCUGGAGGUAUCGGAAGUGCGAAUGCUGACAUGAGUAACGAUAAUGGGGGUGAAAAGCCUCCACGCCGAAAGCCCAAGGUUUCCUUGCGCAACGUUCAUCGACGCAGGGUGAGUCGGCCCCUAAGGCGAGGCAGAAAUGCGUAGUCGAUGGGAAGCAGGUUAAUAUUCCUGCACUUGUCUGUAGUGCGAUGUGGGGACGGAGAAAGUUAGGUCUACCGGGCGUUGGUUGUCCCGGGGAAAGGCGGUAGGCAUGAAGCGUAGGCAAAUCCGCGCUUCUUUAUGCCGAGCACCGAGACGAGUCCUAUUGGACGAAGUGACUGAUACUACGCUUCCAGGAAAAGCCACUAAGCUUCAGCUACAGAGAAACCGUACCGUAAACCGACACUGGUAGGCAGGGUGAGAAUCCCAAGGCGCUUGAGAGAACUCGGGUGAAGGAACUAGGCAAAAUGGCACCGUAACUUCGGGAGAAGGUGCGCCCUUUUUGGUGGCUACAUGCGUAGCUGAGCUGAGAAGGGUCGCAGUAACCUGGCCGCUGCGACUGUUUAUCAAAAACACAGCACUCUGCAAACACGAAAGUGGACGUAUAGGGUGUGACGCCUGCCCGGUGCUGGAAGGUUAAUUGAUGGGGUCAGCCGCAAGGCGAAGCUCUUGAUCGAAGCCCCAGUAAACGGCGGCCGUAACUAUAACGGUCCUAAGGUAGCGAAAUUCCUUGUCGGGUAAGUUCCGACCUGCACGAAUGGCGUAACGACAGCGGCGCUGUCUCCACCCGAGACUCAGUGAAAUUGAAAUCGCUGUGAAGAUGCAGCGUUCCCGCGGCAAGACGGAAAGACCCCGUGAACCUUUACUACAGCUUCACACUGAACGUUGAGUUCUUCUGUGUAGGAUAGGUGGGAGGCUAUGAAACCGAGACGCUAGUUUCGGCGGAGCCAUCCUUGAAAUACCACCCUGAAGUGCUUGACGUUCUAACCUAGGUCCGUAAUCCGGAUCAGGGACCGUGUGUGGUGGGUAGUUUGACUGGGGCGGUCUCCUCCCAAAGAGUAACGGAGGAGCACGAAGGUACCCUCAGCGCGGUCGGAAAUCGCGCGAUGCGUGUAAGAGCGGAAGGGUGCUUGACUGUGAGACUGACG
rnacentral:rRNA from 1 species